CCCGCUGAACUUAAGCAUAUCAAUAAGCGGAGGAAAAGAAACCAACAGGGAUUGCCUUAGUAACGGCGAGUGAAGCGGCAACAGCUCAAAUUUGAAAUCUGGCCCUCGGGUCCGAAUUGUAAUUUGUAGAGGAUGAUUUUGGUGCGGUAUCUUCCGAGUUCCUUGGAACAGGACGCCUUAGAGGGUGAGAGCCCCGUACGGUUGAAUGCCUAGCCUCUGUAAAUCUCCUUCGACGAGUCGAGUAGUUUGGGAAUGCUGCUCUAAAUGGGAGGUAAAUUUCUUCUAAAGCUAAAUAUUGGCCAGAGACCGAUAGCGCACAAGUAGAGUGAUCGAAAGAUGAAAAGCACUUUGAAAAGAGGGUUAAAUAGCGCGUGAAAUUGUUGAAAGGGAAGGAUUUGUGACCAGACUUUUUCUGGGCGGAUCAUCCGGGGUUCUCUCCGGUGCACUUUGCCCAGUAAAGGCCAGCAUCGAUUUUCGGCGGCGGAUAAAAGCAGUGGGAAUGUGGCUCCCUACGGGGAGUGUUAUAGCCCAUUGUAUAAUACGCUGCUGGGGAUCGAGGUACGCGCUUCUGCAAGGAUGCUGGCGUAAUGGUUAUCAAUCACCCGUCUUGAAACACGG
rnacentral:rRNA from 1 species